rnacentral:rRNA from 1 species
UACGUAGGGUCCGAGCGUUGUCCGGAAUUAUUGGGCGUAAAGGGCUCGUAGGCGGUCCGUCACGUCGGGAGUGAAAACCAGAGGCUCAACCCUCUGGCCUGCAUCCGAAAACUGCCCGACUAGAGGUAGGUAGGGGAGAUCGGAAUUCCUGGUGUAGCGGUGAAAUGCGCAGAUAUCAGGAGGAACACCGGUGGCGAAGGCGGAUCUCUGGGCCUUACCUGACGCUGAGGCGCGAAAGCUAGGGGAGCAAACAGG